rnacentral:rRNA from 1 species
CCUACGGGUGGCAGCAGUGAGGAAUAUUGGUCAAUGGACGAGAGUCUGAACCAGCCAAGUAGCGUGAAGGAUGACUGCCCUAUGGGUUGUAAACUUCUUUUAUAUGGGAAUAAAGUGUUCCACGUGUGGGAUUUUGUAUGUACCAUAUGAAUAAGGAUCGGCUAACUCCGUGCCAGCAGCCGCGGUAAUACGGAGGAUCCGAGCGUUAUCCGGAUUUAUUGGGUUUAAAGGGAGCGUAGGUGGAUUGUUAAGUCAGUUGUGAAAGUUUGCGGCUCAACCGUAAAAUUGCAGUUGAUACUGGCAGUCUUGAGUACAGUAGAGGUGGGCGGAAUUCGUGGUGUAGCGGUGAAAUGCUUAGAUAUCACGAAGAACUCCGAUUGCGAAGGCAGUUCACUAGACUGCAACUGACACUGAGGCUCGAAAGUGUGGGUAUCAAACAGGAUUAGAUACCCGGGUAGUC